rnacentral:rRNA from 1 species
UACGAAGGGUGCAAACGUUGCUCGGAAUUACUGGGCGUAAAGCGUGCGCAGGCGGUUUUGUAAGCCAGAUGUGAAAGCCCCGGGCUUAACCUGGGAAUGGCAUUUGGGACUGCAAGGCUGGAGUUUGGCAGAGGAGACUGGAAUUCCUGGUGUAGCAGUGAAAUGCGUAGAUAUCAGGAGGAAUACCGAUGGCGAAGGCAGGUCUCUGGGCUAUAACUGACGCUCAUGCACGAAAGCGUGGGGAGCAAACAGG